AAUAAAGUGACCGAAGUUAGGUAAAAGCUUGUAGCUCUUUUUAUGGAUUUUCCUCCCUUUAUUA
rnacentral:tRNA from 1 species